GCAAAGAUAAUGAUUCGUUAAAACAAAUAUAGAAAUAUAGAAUGUAGAACAACACAAAUUUGGAAGUCACUUUAGAGACUAUAGUUUCCAGUUUUAGUUAAUAGACAAUUUAAAGGUUGUCUGCUCAUAUGUUUUGGAAUAUUGUGAAGAACUCCAAUGAUAUACAUGUAGGGGCAUGUGUCCAAAGCUGAUCCACAUCAUAACAUACUGAUUGGGACUAAUGACUUAGUACCAAAAGAUGUGCUUAUACUGUAAUUAGCAGAUCUUCACAAAUGAACCUGGCAGAUCCUGGUGCAACCUUACCUUACCAUGUUUACAUCUAACCGUCAGUUUGAGCUGUGUGUGGGUGGUAACACGGACUAUAUACAUGUAUUGCCCAGUAAUUGUCUUGUGAUGGACCUUUUUAACAUAUCAAGUAUUUAAUUGAAGACUUAAGAGGUCAGUUUUCAUCAAAGAAUUUAAAAAUAUAGUUUUAUUUAUAAGGGUGAAUAUGUGGUUAUAAUGGCAUUGAUGUAUAUCUUGUGUCUGUUUUUUAAUAAGCCUUUCAUCCAUAAUUACGAAUAUUAAGCAUGAUAAAGUAUUUUAAGGGAAUAUAAUGAAGACAUGUUAUGUUGUUUCUGCACAAGCAUUUGAAUACAAGAACUUCUAUGCACACUCA